GAUGAACGCUGGCGGCGUGCCUAAUACAUGCAAGUCGAGCGAACGGACGAGAAGCUUGCUUCUCUGAUGUUAGCGGCGGACGGGUGAGUAACACGUGGAUAACCUACCUAUAAGACUGGGAUAACUUCGGGAAACCGGAGCUAAUACCGGAUAAUAUUUUGAACCGCAUGGUUCAAAAGUGAAAGACGGUCUUGCUGUCAUUUAUAGAUGGAUCCGCGCUGCAUUAUCUAGUUGGUAAGGUAACGGCUUACCAAGGCAACGAUGCAUAGCCGACCUGAGAGGGUGAUCGGCCACACUGGAACUGAGACACGGUCCAGACUCCUACGGGAGGCAGCAGUAGGGAAUCUUCCGCAAUGGGCGAAAGCCUGACGGAGCAACGCCGCGUGAGUGAUGAAGGUCUUCGGAUCGUAAAACUCUGUUAUUAGGGAAGAACAUAUGUGUAAGUAACUGUGCACAUCUUGACGGUACCUAAUCAGAAAGCCACGGCUAACUACGUG
rnacentral:rRNA from 1 species